rnacentral:snoRNA from 1 species
AAAUGAAGGAAGCAUGGUACUGUGCACGGAAACUGAGCUACCGCAGAUCGACAUGUCUGCCAUCUCUGAUUUUUGUUGUGAUGAGACGGCCUGGUUUAGAUCUACAUUC